rnacentral:rRNA from 1 species
ACGAACGCUGGCGGCGUGCCUAAUACCUGCAAGUAGAACGCUGAAGGAGGAGCUUGCUCUUCUGGAUGAGUUGCGAACGGGUGAGUAACGCGUAGGUAACCUGCCUGGUAGCGGGGGAUAACUAUUGGAAACGAUAGCUAAUACCGCAUAAGAGUAGAUGUUGCAUGACAUUUGCUUAAAAGGUGCAAUUGCAUCACUACCAGAUGGACCUGCGUUGUAUUAGCUAGUUGGUGGGGUAACGGCUCACCAAGGCGACGAUACAUAGCCGACCUGAGAGGGUGAUCGGCCACACUGGGACUGAGACACGGCCCAGACUCCUACGGGAGGCAGCAGUAGGGAAUCUUCGGCAAUGGACGGAAGUCUGACCGAGCAACGCCGCGUGAGUGAAGAAGGGUUUCGGAUCGUAAAGCUCUGUUGUAAGAGAAGAACGAGUGUGAGAGUGGAAAGUUCACACUGUGACGGUAUCUUACCAGAAAGGGACGGCUAACUACGUG